ensembl:lncRNA
GAAGCCAGGCAGCAGCAGGGGAAGCAUGUGCUGUGAAUGCUACUACCAGUUACUUUCUCCCUGGAGAGAGAAAAAAAGAAGUCGAUGAUCACUUUUAGCUCAGUCUUUGCCCUAAUCUGAAAAUGUAUUUAAUCUUUUUUUUUUUUUUGUCUUUGUCUUUGAAGAAGGAGGUUGGAGUUGGAUCCCAGAUCACCUACUGAAAGCUAUAGCUGUAGUCACACGGGUUAGUCUGCAGUCUGGAGAGCAGCCUGGCUUCUGCUUGUGAGUCUGGUGGAAGCUCUGGAGAGAAGUCCGUACUGAGGUCCUGUGGAAAUGUAUAGGGAGCAUUACUUUCAGAGCAACCUAUAUGGACAGAAGAGGAAGGCAAUGGAGUAUUGGUACUGGAAUAUCAUCUGCCACUUUGGAGAAUUUAGCACUUACUGAAAAAAAUUAAGGAUCGCAGCGAUAUCGUUGUUAACAGAAACAGUUACAGUACAUUGAGUUGGAAAGUGUACACCUGGAAAUACCAACAAAGGCACGGACAAGGUGUGAAAUAACAUUUCAGCUGAUUUUAUGCACUGUAUUAACUCGAUUUCAGUUGAAAAACCUGUUACAUCAUCUGAAGAUGGGCAAGUAAAUUAAUUUUUUAAAUUUAUUACUAUUAUUUUUUGUCUCUGAAGCUUAUAGAAAUGACGUUUUUCAAUAGCAAUUCUGAUGGUUUAUGAGGAAUCUAAAAAUACACGUAGGGGUAAAAGCUUACACAGGGACAACAAGAAGAGAAGUUUUAUUUUCUUC